rnacentral:lncRNA from 1 species
UCUUGUCCAAGGCAGAGGGCGUUCUUGCCAGACAGCAUGUGCGUUCCAGGGUGCUUGGCAGACUCUCUCAGUGAAGGAGCUUCGGCAUGAAAAAGUCCCCAUCAGGCGGAUCCCACGCCCUCUGCACAGCUUGUGUAAGGGCACAGCUUGUGUAAGGACAAAAACUAACCAGACACCUACUAUGUAGAAGGCUCUUCAAUGAUUCUUCUGUAAAACAGAUUGUAUUCAUUUGCUAGGGCAGCAAAAUACCACAGACUGAGUGGCUUAAACAACAGAAAUUUAUCUUCUCACAGCUCUGGAGGCUGGAAGUCCAAGAUCAAGGUGCUGGGCGAUUUGGUUUCCUUGGAGGCCUCUCUCCUUGACUUGCAGAUAGUCACCCUCUUCCUCCCUCUUCACCUGGUCGUCCCCUGUGCGUGUGUGUGCCUGGUGUCUCUUCCUUUUCCAUUCUGAACUUAUGAAACAGAUUUUGGUGGGUGUAGCAAGAUCAUGCAAGCUUUGGGACUUGAAUGGAUUGGAAUGUAUUCCAGUUAUAUCAGAUUAGAGUCCUACCCUAAUGGCCUCAUUUUAACUCAAUCAUCUCUUUAAAAACUUUAUCUACAAAUAUACUUACAUCCUGAAAUUUCGGAGGUUGGGACGUUGACAUACGAAUUUUGGGGUAACACAGUUCAGCCCAUGAUAUAGGCAUUACCUAUCUUACAGGUGAGGAAACUGAGGGGCGGUGAGGACAUGUGACUUGCAUAGGGUUAGUAUGCCAGUUGAGAGUAGAAUCUCUAUCUCAGUUGAGUGUUCUUUACACAAAGAACACUUUGUCUCUUGAGGCGAAAUGAUGUAUCCAGCUAGCGCCAUCGAAGACAUUUGGAAAACUCAGGUUUCUUCAUGGCUUGCAAGAUUACCUAGGUACUUCAUGGGGAGUGGUGAGGGGCAUGAGGGUGGUUGGGGGAUGAUCAGUGGAAGCAGUUUGGAGAUUGGGGUCUGGAAUCGGGGUGUGAGUCUUGGCUCUGUCAUAGACUAGGUGUAUCGCCAUUGUCAAGGCCUGCACAAUCUAAGUUUAUACCGAUUAAGAUUUAUUAAGCAACAGUGCUAAGCACUGAACACAUAUCACCUCAUCCCAUGUUCACAGCCAGCAUAUAAAGUGGAUACUAUUGCUAUGUCUACUUUACAGUUGAGGAAAAGAGGCCCGGAGAGGUUAAGUGACUUACUCAAGGUCACGUAGCCAAUAAGGCCUAGAGCCAGGACUCAAACCCACGUCUGUGGAUUUCAAAACCUAUACAGUUAACCAUGAACAGAAUCAGGAAUGGGGUUCGGGGUUACAAAAAUCUGCUUUUAUAAGAGAGAAAAAGUCUGAGUUUUAGUGUAAAAUCUCAAGGAUUUUCAAUAUUGAAUAAUUCAAGUUUCUUAAACAAAACUAAGCAGCUCAGACAAAUCAUAUCAGCUAGCCUCAGGUUCAUACUGCAUUGCCUCUUAUCUGUAAAGUGGGAAAGGUGUUCUAGAUAAACCUGCAGGGCAUUGCCUGUCCUGAUUAUGAACCUCUGAUGCCAUUUUGAACUUAUGAAAUAGAUUUUGGUGACUGUGGUAAGAUCAUGCAAGCUUUGGGACUUGAAUGGAUUUGAAUCUGCACCUUGGCCCUUAGUAGCAAUAUAAGAAGGCAAAUUGUUUAAUCUUUCUGAACCCCAGUUUCCUUGUCUGGAAAUUGGGACUUGUACUUUGUACGCUGAUAUGAAUAUGGAGAUAAAGUCUGUAAAGUGCCUGCUGGGCAGCUUGGUAGGCAGUGAGAAAAUAACACCAACAAGAUCGUGUUCUUCGCCAUGGGAUUGGGAGUCUAUGAGUAGUGGGUGUAUGUGAAUAUCUGGGGGGAUGUGGACAGGGUUCCCACUCUGACAGCUCUCCCCACAAACCAAGGAGCUGCCAUUUUAAACUUAAGUUUUGAAAACUUCAAGAGUUUCUUUACAAAAAUGUCCACCAUUGUUAGACAGACUGGUUAAUACCUUUGCAGGAGUUAGAUUCUAUUAUAUUUAUUUACUCACUAGGAGAGCAUUUAGUGAGUUUACAAUGUGGCGAAAGAGGAGUGGUUCUCAAACCCUAAUCUGCAACAAGAAACAGCCGGGAGCUUGCUUAUACUAAAGCUUCUGAGCUGCCACUCCCAGAGUCCAGCUUAGAGUGCCAUAGGGCCAGGAAUGUGCAUUUGCACAGCUCUCUGGGGAUGCUGAUACAGGGGACCAAAGACUAUCUACUGAGGCCCAGUGUAACUUUACUGUGAGACAACUAAGUCACCUUCCCACCCGGAGAUGCCUCCUGAGCUGACCACAGGGCGGCCACACCUGGCUGACAACUGUCAAGAACUGUCCCCUGCCAUUUCACCUGAGCUGACCUGAUCUCCCCAGGGGAAUGAGCCUCGUCUUGCAAGUCCCCUUCUUUGGGUCCCUGGCAGCGCUGCUGCAGGAUACAAGGAACAGGAUGCUAUGACGAGAUAUGCAUUGAGAAGCUUCAGUCCUGCCUCCAUCCUUAUCUUCUUCUCCCUGGACCAAAAGUGAUAAUUGUCAUUUGAUCCUUAUUUAUUUUUAGAAAUAAAACUCUUAUGCAGAUACCAACACAUACAAAUCUGUAUUCUUAUACCCUCUAUUUCUUACACACAAGGUAGCAUAUUAUAUUCACUGCUUGACAUGUUACUAUAUUUAUUUGUACUUUAUUGAGCUAUAACAUAUACAGUAAAAUAUACAAAACAUAAUGCAUAGGCCAGUGAAUUUUUUCCUUUUUUUAAAUUUAUUUUUCUUGUAUGACUAUUAAAAACAGCUUUAUUGAGGUCCAAUUGAUAUAUAAUAGUAAACUGGAAUAUAUACACACCCAUGAACCAUCACCAUAAUUGAAAUAAUGAAAAUAAUCAUCACCUUCAAAAGUUUCCUCUUAGGCCAGGUGUGAUGGCUUAUGCUUGUAAUCCCAGCACUUUGAGAGUCUGAGGUGGGAGGAUCACUUGAGCCCAUGAGUUCAAGACCAGCCUGGACAACAUGGCAAAACUCCAUCUCCACAAAAAAAUACAAAAAUUAGGUGGUGUAUGUCUGUAGUCCCAGCUACUCAAGAGGCUGAGGCAGGGGGAUCUCCUGAGCCCAGGAUGUUGAGACUGCAGUGAGCCCUGAUCAUGCCCCUGCACUCCAGCCUGGGCGACAGAGUGAGAUCCUGUCUAUAAAUAAAGUUUCCUCUGGCCUCUAUAUUUUCUUAUUAGCUUGUAAAGGUGAGCAGAUUGAUGAGUUGGGUUGAAGAUAUCUAACAUUAAGCUGAUCACAACCUCAUGGUUCCUUCCUAGAGGCUCCUUUAGUUUCUUUCUUUUCUUUUCUUCUCUUCUCUUUUUUUUUUUUCCGAGACAGGGUCUCACUCUGUUGCCCAUGCUAGAGUGCAGUGGUAUGAUCAUAGCUCUCUGCAGUCUUAAAUUCCUGGUCUUAAGCAAUGCUCCUACUUCAGCCUCCCAAGUAGCUGGGACUACAGGGGUGUGCCACCAUGUCCGGCUAUUUUUUGUAGAGACAGAGUUUCACCAUGUUUCCCAGGCUGUUCUCCUAGUGUCAAGAGAUCUGCUCGCCUCAGCCUCCCAAAGUGCUGGGAUUACAGACAUGAGCCACCGUGACCAGCUGAGUCUGCUUUUGUUUCUUAAGAAUCCAGGAACUAGGUAAUAAAUGUAUGUCUUUGCUACUCCUAAGUCUUAUUAAUCACUUACAUUUCUGACAAUUAAUCAUUGGACCUCAAGGGACUUUGAUAAGAUUAAUUUGAAGUUCUCAGCAGUAGAAAGUUUAUUUUGUCAGUCUGCAAAGCUUCUGGUGUCAGAGGUUCUGGUUCAGGGCUGUUUGACUCAAAGAACCAAGGGACUCUUGGAAAAAGAAACAAGACUUACAUGGAAUUUCAGGAUCUCCAUUGUUUAUAAGCCAUAAUUCUGGGAAGAAGGAAAUGAACUCUAAUUAAGCACCUCUAUGGGUCAGAUACUUUAUAUAAAACAAAGAAUUUAAUCCUCAACAAUAACCUGCCACAGAGAUGAGAUUAUCACCAUUUUUACAGAAGAGGAAAUAGGAUCUGAGAGCCUAAGCAACUUGCCCAAGGUGACUCAGUAAGUGGCAUGAGCUGGAGUUGAAACCCAGAGCUAUAUUGCUAUAGAGCCCAUCCUUUCUAUUUCAUGGCCCUACUCUCUGUCCCCUGCCCCUAGAUAAUAUUAACAAUUGAUAGACAGAUAAGUAGAUAGAUAGAUAAAUAGAUACAGAUACACACACAUAUAUCUGUAUAUCAGGAUGUGCUAUAUAUUACAUUUUAUUUAUUUCCAAAGGCCUUAGGAAAAAAACAAUAGCAGUGUAGAACAUGAAGGCAAAUGGUUACAAAAUACAUGGAUACGUGUAUUUUACUGCUGAUAUAAAUUUAUGUCUAUUGAGUUAUUCCCAAGUUAACAAGGACCGAGAAGUUACUGUGGCCUAAGAAUUGUGCUCUGCAUGUUGGUAGAGACAAAAUAAGCAGCGUCUACUGGCAAAGACUGUAUCAUGUUGCCGGAGAAGUGAAGCAUUAAGUAGAAACUGUGUGUAGUGGCUGUGAGGGCAGCAUGGUUCUGCAAAGGGCUUGAUUGGCGGGAAGAGGAUUAGAUUCCCGCAUGUGUAGUUGGGAAUCUGAUCUGUAAAAGCCAGACACUGAGGUUUUGAUGUCUUUCUCCAGUUCACACAAAGAGCUAAUAGCUGGGCUGGGACUAUGUCUUAAGCAUCCUGGAUAGUUAACAUCUUACCAACCUCUGUCUUCCCCAAAAGCUGCAAUCUCCAUAUGCAGGAGCCAACAUCAGUUUGCUGCAAGGGAGGAGAAUGAGGACUAUUGUAUCAACUGGAGUCCCAUAGAAAACAAAUGACACACUCAAAAGGGGUGAUCAAGAGUUCCAUGGAGGGGCCGUUGACAAAGGUAGAGCCGGUUUAGAGAAAAGCAAUAAGGGAUGCGGAAGCCUCAGGAUCAGCAGCAGCAGGAAGCCACUGGCACCGAGUGCCAAGGGGUAGGGAGCGGUAGCUGAGGUGUGGUGAGCUGUAGGUACAGAAGCACUGCUAUUGCUGCAUCAGAGGUAUCAAUAUUCCAUCCUCACUCUCUCAAUGCCCUCUGAUCACACGCCUGGUGCCCUGGAAGACAGAGGUCACUGGAGCUGUGUGGUUGCAGUCGUUAGAGGUCAGCUUCCUGGCUGCAGCACAGUGCAGAAAGGAAAUGGACAGAGAGUGGUUCUGGCAGGACAGAUGGAGACUAUCCAGUGCAAAAUCCAUGCUGGGGAAAUUUAAGAGUUUUCUUGGGAGUGCAUUAAAGGAGCUAUUGCAGGUGCCUUAGAAUCUCAGAGUCUUAAAGUCACUCCCUUCCAUAAUCCAAUAGCUUGUUCUUGUUCUCAGGAAAGCUCUAUAAACCCAGGGCCUUAUUCUUAUUGUAGUCAUCAUUUCCAGCAGAGCACAGAUUCAAGAGCCAGCUGUUUAACUCAUGACCUUGCUGAAGAGGUGGUAAUGGGGCUAUUCUUAGUGAUCACAUUGUUAUGGGUUAGCAACUUGAUGUUCAAGGUAGUGGGCACCUAGAUAUCUCUGAAUGAUGGUGUUUGUUGGUUUGAAAGAGGUCUCCCUCAUUAAUUCAUUAUCUUGCUGGAGAGGCAGUUGCAUUUUGGCUUCAGCCUUUAAAUGAUAGUGGCUCUAUUUCCGACUUGCUUGGAAACUAUUAUUAACUAUUAUUCCCAACAAUACACUUGCAUAUUUGACAAUCUAGAAACCAAAUUUAGCCAUGCAAAUUAUAGACAACUGCUCUCUUAUAAUGUCACUGUGAUGUCCCAGUUUUUAAGAAAUGGAAGAUUAACAAAGCCAGCUUCAAAUGCUUAAAACAAUAUUUUAUGUAAGAAGCCAUUUUCCCCCAGAGAUGCAUAGACCUGUAAAAUGUUUCCAGAGCUCUUUGGAAGAUAACCAAUAUUUCUCUCAAAGGAAGGGGAAGUAGCAGAACAUCAAAUAUACGCAAAAACCCUUCAAAGCUGGAAGUGCCAUCAGCUUACUAAGGAAUUAUGUUAAAAAUAAGGGAAACUUAAGAGGUCACUUAAAUGAUUUAAACACCAUAUUUUCCCUCUUCUCCAAAAAUCCCCCAAGACAAUGCUCAUAAUGUUAGACUGACCUUUUAGCAUAUGUGAUUUUAGUGAAAGACAUUUCUCUUCUUCUAAAUAUAUCUCAAACCAUUCUUAAAAGUAAUGAUUUCUCAUUAAGGCUCUUGCACCUGCUUGUGAAGAAAAGACAUCUGACCUUUAAAAAAUAUUCCAUGGGUCUGAAUCAUCUAAGUAUAUUGUAGCUUUAUUCUUGCAGACAAGGGAAACCAAGAAUGAUCUGGAUAAUGGAGAAACCUGUUAAUACAACUGGAUUUGAAUCACACUACUGGCUGAAAUUCACACAACCGGAUUGGGAUCCCACUGUGUAAUUUUAGGAUGCUCAAGCAUCAUGGCAUCAUUUCCAGUGGAGUCGCUGAACUUGUAGGUUGUCUACCUGACACCUCGAGGUCCUUACACCAAGAAGUCAGCUGUGAAGCCCGCUGAGUCCUCGGGUGGAUGUCUGCCACCACAUACAUAGCCUUUGCUGGUGGCUUGGAGAGCUGGCAGGUCAGCCACAGAAAGUGGGCAAGACCUAGUCAGUAGCGACAGGAUAUGUUCCCAGGAUGGACAGCUGCCUGAUAUGCGUUCAGUUCCAGUGCCAAAGCCAAGGGCUGCCAGUGCCCUUCCUUCAUGCUAAGGACUUCUCUCUCUCCAGGACAGCGGAUGCCUGUUUGGAAGGCUGGAUUGGACUGAGCCACAUGGCAGAGCCUUGGAGAUGGCAGGGGAGGGAAGUCGAAGACAUGGAGUGGUUUGACAUUUGUGCAUAGUAUGAAGAAAGAUCAUCAAGGCUGAAAUGUGUCUGCUAAGAGGCUUCAGCUCAUGUUUGCUAAUCUCCUGUAUGGUGAAACACUGGCACCCAGACAAACCCUCAUUCACAUCAGAACAAAGCGCUAGUUAUGUGUGUUGAAAUUCCUUAAAGAAAAUGUCUUGCAGGCUGCUGGGGAGUGCGUGAAUGCUGGAAAUGCUUCACCAAGAGUUACUCAAUGUCCUGGGAAGACGGUCUGCUGGCAUCUGAGGGCUCACCCUAGAGAAGAGUGGUUGUACUCCAGGGCACAUGGGUCUGGUGAGGACAGAGAAGCAUGGGUGGAUGGGUGGGUGGAGAUGAGGGUGGAUGUUUUCUCUGUAAUCGUCUCCGGCCAGGCUGGAGCCCGAACCAGACUACCCACUUUAUUAGUCCAUUGAGAAUAUCUAAAGUCAGGCUUCUCAGCACAGCUGCCAUUUCCCCUGCUUGGGACCAGAUUUUCCUGUUUUCUGAGGGCUUCCAAGUAAGUUGGAAGUUCCUUGGGUUUCCACAACUUUGACUUAAUGAAGAAACAAGGUCAAGAAUCAGAGGAAAGGUUUUUGGAUGGGCCUCAGAGGUCUGAAAUGGUUAGGUGGGAGUCUAAAGGUAUAGGAGAGAAACUAAAUCAGUUGUAGCCCCAGCUGUUUGGAGAUGAUGCCAGCAGAUGGGAUUGAGUAAGCGACCACAGGUUGCAGAGGGUGGCAGAUGGGAGGCGGAUGUGGAAAUGGGGUCCCAGUCAGAAAUGAACACCACUAGAGGAGCAGGAAGAAGGGCCAAGCAAGAGCAGUGGUUCUCAUUGUGGUUUCUGGACUAGCGGCGGCAGCAGCACCCACGAUGUAGAUGUCAACUCUUAACUCCACUCGGAAACCCACUGAAUCAGAAACUCAGGUGGUGAAGCCCAACCAGCGGUACUUGAAUAAGUCCUCCAGUGAGUCUGAUGGACACUAAAGUUUAAGAACCACUGAGUCAGGGAACCCCAAGGGAGGCAAUUGCUAAGGAACUGCAAGAGAGGAAUUAGGGGCUGGGCCAGGGGCCAGGCGCGGUGGCUCACACCUGUAAUCCCAGCACUUUGAGAGGCUGAGGCAGGAGAAUGGCUUGAGCCCAGGAGUUCAAGACUAGCCUGGGCAACAUAGUGAAACCCUGACUCUACAAAGAACACAAAAUUGGCCAGGCAUGGUGGUAGCCACCUGCAGUCCUAACUACUCGGGAGGAUCACUUGAGCCUGGGAGAUGGAGGUUGCAGUGAGCUGAGAUCACACCUCUGGGCUACAGCCUGGGUGAUAGAGCAAGACCCCAUCUCAAAAAAAAAAAAAAAAAAGACGGCAGGAUUAGGGAAACUUCUAGAAUGAGGAGGAGAUGGCCCUGAAAGCACAGGGGGACAAGGAGAGUGAACUGAAAAGUAGAAAGAAGUUCUUCUCCAUAAGAAAAAAAGGUGAUGAGAGCUACAAUAAAAAACUACUAGUCACAACGGCUGCAGCUCAAGGUAGCCUGGAUUCUUGAUAAGCACACACCCGCCACUGGUGUCACGCUGAAGCUGGAAGGACCGCCUCUGCUAACAACAGUGAAGAACAAAUGUGGAUGCAAAUGGCUCUUAGAAGUCAGACAAAGGGAAGUUGCAUUGCUGAGAUUCACCUGCAGGUCCCAGCAUGGCUCAUUUGUUCUCUGGAGUAGUGGGUUGAAUGGUAGCCCCCCGCCCCCAUAGAUAUCCUAACCCCUAGAAUCUGUGAACGUGAUCUUAUUGUGGCAGCAGGCCUGUAAUCCAAGCUACUCUGGAAGCUGAAGGGGGAGGAUUUCUUGAGGCCAGAGGUUCGAGACCGGCCUAGGCAACAUAGCAAGAGACCCCUUCCAUCUCCAAAAAAUGAAGGAUAUCCAGAUGAGAUCAUCCUGGAUUAUCUGAGUGGGUCUUAAAUCCAAUGACAUCCAAAUUUAUAAGAGAUGAAAGAGGAGGAAAAGAGAGAUAUGCAGAGGAGAAGGUGAUGGGAAGAUGGAGGCAGGAAUUGGAGUGACACAUCCAUAAACAUGUAGACAUAAAGGGAAUGCCUGUAGUCACCAGCAGUGGGAAGAGGUAAGGCGGGAUUGUCCCGCAGAGCCUUCAGAGGAGGCAUGGCCCUGCUAACACCUUGAUUUUUGGACUUCUGACCUCCAGAAAUGAAAGAAAAUAAAUUACUAUUGCUUUAAGCCACCAAAUUUGUGGUGAUUUAUUAUAGCAGCUCUAGGAAAUUAAUAUACCUGGCUUAAGGGAAGAGGCAUGGGAUUUGAAGACAGACAGACUGGUGUCUUGAACUUUUUGAAUGUUACUCCCUAGGGUGGGAUGUGAACUCUGAGUCACAGCAGUCCCCACGUGGCUUGAGUCCCUCAUUACUUUAGCUAUCUGCCUCCUAUGAGCAUCUUAGCUUUGUAUCCUCUGGGUAACUUCACCUCUCCAGUCUUCUCCACCUUUGACAUCUUAUUAUUCCAGCAAGGGGGGUGGGGAAGGUGGAUUACCUCAAAUCUUUGGAGCAAUGUUUGGGGAUGAUGUAGUCUACCAUCCUUUGAAUAGCUUGGCUGAUUUACCAUUGAGGAAGAAAGAAAUUUCUUCUUGAGAUGUAGUGUGAUGCCUUUUUCAGAACCAGCCACUCUAGUGAUUUUUAAUAAAAAAAAUUAUUGUCUCAUGGCUGGGUUUCUGUCAUUCCUUCCAGAAGGUGGGAGGCUGUGAGUUUGGAAAAUUAGUGUCUGGUGACUGUGGGUGAGAAGGCCCUUUCCUACAUAACAGAAGAAAUAAACAC